GCCAGGCAUGGUGGUGCAUGCCUGUGGUCCCAGCUACUUAGGAGGCUGAGGCAGGAGCAUUGCUUGAGCCCAGGAGACAGAGGCUGCAGUGAGUCCUGAUGGGGCCACUGCACUCCAGCCUGGGUGACAGAGUGAGACCCUGUCUCCA
rnacentral:SRP_RNA from 1 species